rnacentral:rRNA from 1 species
AUUGAACGCUGGCGGAAUGCUUUACACAUGCAAGUCGAGCGGCAGCGCGGGGGCAACCCUGGCGGCGAGCGGCGAACGGGUGAGUAAUACAUCGGAACGUGUCCUUAAGUGGGGGAUAGCUCGGCGAAAGCCGGAUUAAUACCGCAUAAGCUCUGAGGAGGAAAGCGGGGGCUCCGUAAGGACCUCGCGCUGUUGGAGCGGCCGAUGUCGGAUUAGCUAGUUGGUGGGGUAAAAGGCCCACCAAGGCGACGAUCCGUAGCUGGUCUGAGAGGAUGAUCAGCCACACUGGAACUGAGACACGGUCCAGACUCCUACGGGAGGCAGCAGUGGGGAAUAUUGGACAAUGGGCGCAAGCCUGAUCCAGCGAUGCCGCGUGUGUGAAGAAGGCCU